CGAGCCACGUAGCUCAGUGGUAACGCGUCCGCCUCGUACGCGGUAGAUCGGGCUUCAAAUCCCGGCUCGA
rnacentral:tRNA from 1 species